rnacentral:lncRNA from 1 species
AAACGCAGUAGGAGGAGUGACGGGAACCGGGAGCCGGCUCCAUGCGCCUGGAGCGCGCGGGUCCCAGCGCCCAUCGGCCCGGGGUCCGAGGGGCCCGCUGCCCGGGCUCGCUGCGUGGUGCUACCGCCCCCGGGCCCGCUGCGCCGCGUCGGAGCCCCAGCAGACUUUGAGAGGCGUGUGCGACAGUGCGCGUCCUCUCCUGCCUCUGGAUGUUUCCUUGGAGCCUCUGGCCUUCGGGAAGACCGGUAAACGUCCCUGUGGAGCCAGCCAGCCAGCCACCUCUGACCCCCGGGCUCAAGCAGCCAGCCGCGUGCUCCCUCCUCCCACUUGGUACCCGGACAGAACAGUCCCUACCUUGCUCUUCUCCCGCCGGCUCGUCACUUUAGGCUCCCUCCAGAUUCCGCGUUCCUUGAGCAAAUGGCUCACCCCUGACGAAUCCGGCCUUAAAAAAGUCCCGGCCUUGAAAGGGGUGGAGACUGGCGGGCGGGAGCGAAAGGAGGUCAGACCCAUGGCUGGGGUCGCACACGCAUCACCUGAGGUCGGAGAGGAGGGGAGCCUCACUUCCUCUGACCCACUGAGCCUGGUGGCAGCGUGCGGAGAGAUGUCACCAUCCCGGACUAAAUGAAAUCCAACUUUCCCUGACGCACCUUGUGGGAUCAAAGAGGGGUGUUCCCAUGCUCACCUUUCGCCACUUCCUCCCUGGGGUAUCUCCACCUCUCCAACACAAGCUCAAUGCCAGUUCUCUUUGGGAUGUUUUUGUGCAGGGGGUGUGACCUCCCUCAUAAAGGAACCCCCACUCCCAAGUUUUCCCCUCUUGUCAGUGGAACCUGUGACCAACGGUUCCUUCCUGUCCUUUUCCUCCCUGAAAGUAGCCCGGGGGCAUUCGAACAUGGCUCUAGACCCCUGAAUAGGGUUUGGAGCGGAGAUGUGCCUGGGGAGAAGAGAUCGCAGUGCUGUGUAUGAAGCUUUGGGCACGUGCUCACAAGAGCACACACAGCAACCUGAGCAGGUCAUUCCUUUUGAUAAGGAUGACAAAUACACAUACCAAACCCUGUUCCCCUCACCCACCCCAAACCAGUACCCCCAGGAUGAUUCCAGAUCAGCUCUGGAGCAUUUGCAUCAAGGGCCUGCAGACUCACAGGACCUACUAGAGCAAAAUAUCAGUGUCUCAGACCCCAGUUUUGGCCUCAAAUACUGGGUUUUUCUGCCAGGAGAAGUAGCUGCUAGUCUAGGAAAUGCUGGGACUUGUCCAGAAAGAUGAGGUUUGUGAAUACGGGGUGUGGGGUUGGGUGGGGAAUUAAGGCUGAUGUAUCUGGAGGAACUUUGGUUGGGCUGGAGGCAACUUCUGCCCUGUUCUAUUCAACAGUUCCCUCCCCUCCACUACCCCAUUUAAUCUGGCCACAGCUCAGCUACCUGUGUAUAAAAUCUUGAUCUCUCUCCUAUUUCCUUUCUACCUUCCGUGUUUUUACUUACUCGAAAACUGUUCCCCUCUCCUGUGUGUAUUUUUUUAAUUGAAAUAUACCAGGCAUUUAGGAAAGGAACACGAAACCUAAGUGUACAGGUCAACAAAUGAUGACACAGUGAACACCCCCAUAUGACCACCAUCCAGAUCUAGAACGAGAUCAUUAUUGGCAUCCCAGAUACCCUCCUUCUAUCCGCUCCUGGUGACUAUGCCACACUCCUUCUCAAAAGUAACGUUUAUCUAACACUACAGGUUAGUUUUGCUUACUUCUGAACUUUAUAUACAUGGAACCAUUCAGUAGGUAUUAUUUUGUGUCUGGCUUCUCUCACUCAAUACUAUGUUUAUGAAACUCAUCCAAAACAUUGUGGUAGCAGUAGCUUAUUUGUUUUCAUUGCCGUACGGUAUGCCAUUAAAUAAAUAUACCACAAUUUAUCUGUU